GACGAACGCUGGCGGCGUGCUUAACACAUGCAAGUCGAACGGAAAGGCCCUGCUUUUGUGGGGUGCUCGAGUGGCUAACGGGUGAGUAACACGUGAGUAACCUGCCCUUGACUUUGGGAUAACUUCAGGAAACUGGGGCUAAUACCGGAUAGGAGCUCCUGCUGCAUGUUGGGGGUUGGAAAGUUUCGGCGGUUGGGGAUGGACUCGCGGCUUAUCAGCUUGUUGGUGGGGUAGUGGCUUACCAAGGCUUUGACGGGUAGCCGGCCUGAGAGGGUGACCGGCCACAUUGGGACUGAGAUACGGCCCAGACUCCUACGGGAGGCAGCAGUGGGGAAUAUUGCACAAUGGGCGGAAGCCUGAUGCAGCAACGCCGCGUGCGGGAUGACGGCCUUCGGGUUGUAAACCGCUUUCGCCUGUGACGAAGCGUGAGUGACGGUAAUGGGUAAAGAAGCACCGGCUAACUACGUG
rnacentral:rRNA from 1 species